rnacentral:rRNA from 2 species
AUUUGGGGGAAUGUAGGUAUAUAUCUUAUGAUGCAUAUAUACAAAUCGACUACGUCGUAUAAAGUUCUAAAUAGAUAAUUGAUUGUGACAGAUUUCUAUUUAUGUGUCUCGACCAAUUCUUGUGCCAGCAGUCGCGGCAACACAAGUGAGACUAGUGUUAUUCAUCUUUAUUAGGUUUAAAGGGUACCUAGACGGUUUUUUUAGCUUGAAAAAUGUACAAAAAAACUAGAGUUUUAUAUGAGAGGUAAAUAUUAGGACUAUUGGUGUAGAGAUGAAAUUUUUUGAUACUAAUUGGACGUAUAAUGGCGAAGGCGAUCCUCUAUUUAUAAACUGACGUUAAGGGACGAAGGCUUGGGGAGCGAAUAGGAUUAGAUACCCUAGUAGUCCAGGCAGAAAAUUAUGAAUGUUAUAGAUUAAGUAUAUAAUUAGUGUAUAAAUGAAAGUGUAAGCAUUCCACCUCAAGAGUAAUGUGGCAACGCAGGAACUGAAAUCAU